rnacentral:rRNA from 1 species
AAAGAAAGCGUAAUAGCUCACUGGUCGAGUCGGCCUGCGCGGAAGAUGUAACGGGGCUAAACCAUGCACCGAAGCUGCGGCAGCGACGCUUAUGCGUUGUUGGGUAGGGGAGCGUUCUGUAAGCCUGCGAAGGUGUGCUGUGAGGCAUGCUGGAGGUAUCAGAAGUGCGAAUGCUGACAUAAGUAACGAUAAAGCGGGUGAAAAGCCCGCUCGC